rnacentral:rRNA from 1 species
GAUGAACGCUGGCGGCGUGCCUAAUACAUGCAAGUCGAGCGAACGGACGAGAAGCUUGCUUCUCUGAUGUUAGCGGCGGACGGGUGAGUAACACGUGGAUAACCUACCUAUAAGACUGGGAUAACUUCGGGAAACCGGAGCUAAUACCGGAUAAUAUUUUGAACCGCAUGGUUCAAAAGUGAAAGACGGUCUUGCUGUCACUUAUAGAUGGAUCCGCGCUGCAUUAGCUAGUUGGUAAGGUAACGGCUUACCAAGGCAACGAUGCAUAGCCGACCUGAGAGGGUGAUCAGCCACACUGGAACUGAGACACGGUCCAGACUCCUACGGGAGGCAGCAGUAGGGAAUCUUCCGCAAUGGGCGAAAGCCUGACGGAGCAACGCCGCGUGAGUGAUGAAGGUCUUCGGAUCGUAAAACUCUGUUAUUAGGGAAGAACAUAUGUGUAAGUAACUGUGCACAUCUUGACGGCACCUAAUCAGAAAGCCACGGCUAACUACGUG